rnacentral:rRNA from 1 species
GCCGGAUUAGCUAGUUGGUGGGGUAAUGGCCCACCAAGGCGACGAUCCGUAGCUGGUCUGAGAGGACGACCAGCCACACUGGGACUGAGACACGGCCCAGACUCCUACGGGAGGCAGCAGUGGGGAAUUUUGGACAAUGGGCGCAAGCCUGAUCCAGCCAUUCCGCGUGCAGGAUGAAGGCCCUCGGGUUGUAAACUGCUUUUGUACGGUACGAUACGCGCUGAGCUAAUACCUCGGCGUAAUGACGGUACCGUAAGAAUAAGCACCGGCUAACUACGUGCCAGCAGCCGCGGUAAUACGUAGGGUGCAAGCGUUAAUCGGAAUUACUGGGCGUAAAGCGUGCGCAGGCGGUGAUGUAAGACAGAUGUGAAAUCCCCGGGCUCAACCUGGGAACUGCAUUUGUGACUGCAUCGCUGGAGUGCGGCAGAGGGGGAUGGAAUUCCGCGUGUAGCAGUGAAAUGCGUAGAUAUGCGGAGGAACACCGAUGGCGAAGGCAAUCCCCUGG